GGAAGUUUUAAAAUCAAUCCCUGACACGUCUCUCCUUUUAAUUUCUUUUGAAUACUGACUGAAUUUUUCUUCUAUUUGUCCCUAAUUUUAAAAUCCAGAGAGAAAAUAAGUAAAAAUUUUGCUUUGCAGUUGAUGUGCCACAAUGUAUGAGUUUUCAUCUAAAACUUCAAAUAUCUUCAGAGUUUCUGCUAAAGCUGUGAUUGCUCAUCCCAGAGUCACUGGACUGAUGAGGCAAGCUACAGCGGUGGGAUGGCAGAAGCAGCUGUGGGUCAUUGCCUAUGGACUCACACAGGAGGGAGACCUGCAGGCCACAGUUUGAAGAUUGGAAGAACAGAACUGUGACAGCAGCAGGAGGGGGAUUUGCCAUCUUCAAAUUAUGCUUUACAGACACAACGGCCAAGAUGAGAAACUGAGAUGCAGACUGAUCCCAACUCCCAGCUUUCUCAGAUUAUUUGGCUUGGAAAUAACAUUGAGGAUCAAUGGAAGAUCACAUCCAUUUGGAGGUAAGAAGAGAAUAGCAUGCUUGCUCAGAGGAUGGUUUUUCGCUUAGCACCGUUGUGCUCAGGACUGGACUCCAAAAGCAAG